AUGGUGUCUAUAUAGAUACCCAGUGAUACAAUUCUCAGAUACACUGCUGCACAGACGUCCUGCAGACACAAUAAAAGUGGUCUACGUACUGAUUCGCAGAUUCACUGUUCUUCAUGGGGUGUCUACUUGUGUGUUUGGCCGUCCUGCUCUUUAUGAGUGGAACGGCAACAGGACAAACUACUACAACAUCAGAAAGCAUGUUCCCAUACAUAAUACAAGAUACAUCAACAUCAACACCAGAUACAUCAACAUCAACCCCAACACCAGAUACAUCAACAUCUACACCAGAUACAUCAACAUCAACCCCAACACCAGAUACAUCAACAUCAACAUCAACACCAUAUACAUCAACAUCAACCCCAAC